rnacentral:rRNA from 1 species
GAUCCUGGCUCAGGAUGAACGCUGGCGGCGUGCUUAACACAUGCAAGUCGAACAAAGCACUUAAGAUUGACUCUUCGGAUGAUUUCUUUUGUGACUUAGUGGCGGACGGGUGAGUAACGCGUGGGUAACCUGCCUCACACAGGGGGAUAACAGUUAGAAAUGACUGCUAAUACCGCAUAACCCGAUAGGAUCGCAUGAUCCAGACGGAAAAGAUUUAUCGGUGUGAGAUGGACCCGCGU